UACGUAGGUGGCAAGCGUUGUCCGGAAUUAUUGGGCGUAAAGCGCGCGCAGGCGGUCCUUUAAGUCUGAUGUGAAAGCCCACGGCUCAACCGUGGAGGGUCAUUGGAAACUGGGGGACUUGAGUGCAGGAGAGAAGAGUGGAAUUCCACGUGUAGCGGUGAAAUGCGUAGAGAUGUGGAGGAACACCAGUGGCGAAGGCGGCUC
rnacentral:rRNA from 1 species